rnacentral:lncRNA from 1 species
AUGUGCAACCGUGGGCAGAGGCCGGGCUGAUGGGUCUACAAGCCCAGGAAAGUCCGAGAUUGCCAGCAAAACACCAGAAGCUGGGGGGAGGCAUGGAGUGGGUUCUUAGAAGGAACCCACCCUGCAACACCUACAUCUCAGACUUCAGCCUCUGAAACUACUUGGCUGAGCCGGUGGACAAGAUUUCAGGAAGGAACUAAGCUCUGAGCUUUACUGAUAGGCUGGUAUGGAAAACCUUUCUGGACUCCUUAAAUAUAUCCUUCAAGAUUUUGACAUUUCUCUGAUUGGAACUGACAAAUAGAUCUUGGUAGGCCAAAGGUUCCACCCUUCACUCUAAAGCUAAGUUGGAAUCUCACUCUGUUGCCCAGGCUGGAGUACAAUGGCAC